UGAGACUUGAAAGUGCCCAAUUUUAGCUUGGUUGGGCUCAAUCUGUUUCACUCACAACUAAUACACUGAUUAAAAAAUCAAUAAGAAGGAACAGAAGAUGCCUCUGUUCGGGUACAGGAAAAAAGAGAAAGAAACGCCAUAUGCUUCAGACAAAAACAACACACAUGUGGGAACCCUUCGUACAAGCUUGCACAUCUGCCCUCCACGGUGUCAUUACCGGAUGCCUUUGUAAAGGUUUGAUUUGCAUAUAAUCAUUGAAUGUGUAAAAAUCGGAGGAAGUGCUUGAAGAGAAGCAGCAUGACUUUUCCAUAAAGCUUGUAAUCUUACAGAAAGUUUAAUUCAUGCAAUUUCCCCCUAUGUAAUCUCAAUUAUGAUCCAAAUUUGGGAAGGAGUUGGGAGAGAGAUGGGGGGAAAGCAAUUAAACAGACUGCAUAUAUAAGUAACACCAAUGGUAAAAUGACUGAAAAUUUCCAGCAAAAAAAGA
rnacentral:lncRNA from 1 species